AUGACGAGCCUGCAGGCGGCCCCGCGCCUCAGCCUCCACCUGACCCCGUCCGAACACCGUGGCCGGCUGCUUCCGCCGUGGAGGCUCGUCCUCUCCCCCUCCUCCUCCUGCAGGCUUUACACUCUCAUUUCCAGACAACAUCCCAUUUGCAAUGCACAAUCAUAUGCUGAUGAUUUACUGGUGGCCAGUGCCCAAAGCUCCACAACUGCUCUCUCAAGGUUGCUUGCUGCUGAAAGAGAGGAAGCGAAAGCUGUGCUAUCGCUGUUCUUAAGGCAGAAAGGUUUGAGAAGUGCGGUAGCUGCACGGAUCGCCAACAAAUCAGAUGGAUUCAUUGAGCACCUGAGUUCAAAGCUCCAAAGUGCUUACAGAUCUCGAUAUGCUGAAGGAAGGGAGCUGAGUACACCUGAGAUCAGAGAUGCUCUCCUUCCCUAUCUAGAAGCUCUUUCUAAAGAACAUGGGGAUAGUUUGGUCGAAGUGGUGGAGAAUUUCCCUGAUCCUUUUUCCGCGGAAAGGGAGUCCUUGUCUUACUCAAUGAUACUUACACCAACGAGCUCAAAUAAGCAGAAGGCAAUUGCUCGAGUAAGCACGCCAACCUCAGGGGGAGCCCUCCCGGAGUUAGUGCUCUACCUACUGGACUACGGCAUGGAUCAUGAGGAGAUCAAGAAUGUCGUGCGCAAGUUCCCAGCAUUUGCAUACUACAAUGUGGAUCGCAAGAUAAAGCCCCUGGUGGAGCUACUGCUUGAGCUUGGUGUGCCGAGGUCAGGCAUACCCGGAAUCAUCAGGAAGAGGCCUCAGCUAUGUGGAAUCAGCUUGACAGAUAAUCUGAAACCUAUGAUGGCCUAUAUGGAGAAUAUUGGUGUCAACAAAGCUCAAUGGAGCAAGGUGAUAUGCCGGUUCCCUGCAUUUCUCACAUAUAGCAGGCAGAAGGUGGAGAUGACUGUGAGCUACCUUACUGAACUAGGAGUUUCUAAGGAAAACAUCGGCAAGAUCCUCACACGAUGUCCUCAUCUCAUGAGCUACAGUGUCAAUGACAACCUCAGACCAACUGCUGACUACUUCCGGUCGAUCGGUGCAGAUGCUGCAUCUCUUAUUCAGAAAUGUCCCCAAGCUUUUGGUUUGAACAUAGAAUCAAAGCUGAAGCCGAUCACAGAGUUUUUCCUGGAGAGAGAAUUCAGCAUCGAGGAAAUUGGCAUUAUGGUAAAUAGAUUUGGGAUUAUUCACACUCUCAGCUUGCAAGAAAAUUUGAUUCCCAAAUAUGAAUAUUUUCUGACGAUGGGGUACCCAAGGUAUGAACUCGUGAAAUUUCCGCAGUACUUUGGGUACAGUUUAGAGCAGAGGAUAAAACCUCGGUAUGCUCGGAUGACUGGUUGUGGGGUGAGAUUGAUUCUGAACCAGAUGUUGUCAGUCUCAGAAACCAGAUUUGAGGAAAUUCUACAAAAGAAAUCAGGUGGAUUUUGA
rnacentral:rRNA from 1 species